rnacentral:rRNA from 1 species
AGUGAAUAGAUACCCUGGUAGUCCACGCUGUAAACGAUGGGCACUAGGUGUCGCGGGUAUUGACCCCUGCGGUGCCGCAGCUAACGCAUUAAGUGCCCGCCUGGGGACUACGGCCGCAAGGUUAAAACUCAAAGGAAUUGACGGGGGCCCGGCACAAGCGGUGGAGCAUGUGGUUCAAUUCGACGCAACGCGAAGAACCUUACCCGGGUCGUAGACAACAGAGGACAGCCUUAGAAAUAAGGUCUUCCCUUCGGGGACCGUCUGGUUCAGGUGCUGCAUGGCUGUCGUCAGCUCGUGUCGUGAGAUGUUGGGUUAAGUCCCGCAACGAGCGCAACCCUUGCCUCUAGUUGCCACUCAUUUAGUUGGGCACUCUAGAGGGACUGCCCGUGUCAAACGGGAGGAAGGCGGGAUGACGUCAAGUCCUCAUGGCCCUUAUGGUCCGGGGCUACACACGUGCUACAAUGGGCGGUACAAAGGGCAGCAAACCCGCGAGGGGAGCCAAUACCCAAAAAGCCGCUCUCAGGUUCGGAUUGGAGUCUGCAACUCGACUCCA